rnacentral:rRNA from 1 species
GACUGGGAUAACACCUGGAAACAGAUGCUAAUACCGGAUAACAACACUAGACGCAUGUCUAGAGUUGAAAGAUGGUUCAGCUAUCACUCUUGGAUGGACCUGCGGUGCAUUAGCUAGUUGGUAAGGUAACGGCUUACCAAGGCAAUGAUGCAUAGCCGAGUUGAGAGACUGAUCGGCCACAUUGGGACUGAGACACGGCCCAAACUCCUACGGGAGGCAGCAGUAGGGAAUCUUCCACAAUGGACGAAAGUCUGAUGGAGCAACGCCGCGUGAGUGAAGAAGGGUUUCGGCUCGUAAAGCUCUGUUGGUAGUGAAGAAAGAUAGAGGUAGUAACUGGCCUUUAUUUGACGGUAAUUACUUAGAAAGUCACGGCUAACUACGUGCCAGCAGCCGCGGUAAUACGUAGGUGGCAAGCGUUGUCCGGAUUUAUUGGGCGUAAAGCGAGUGCAGGCGGUUCAAUAAGUCUGAUGUGAAAGCCUUCGGCUCAACCGGAGAAUUGCAUCAGAAACUGUUGAACUUGAGUGCAGAAGAGGAGAGUGGAACUCCAUGUGUAGCGGUGGAAUGCGUAGAUAUAUGGAAGAACACCAGUGGCGAAGGCGGCUCUCUGGUCUGCAACUGACGCUGAGGCUCGAAAGCAUGGGUAGCGAACAGGAUUAGAUACCCUGGUAGUCCAUGCCGUAAACGAUGAGUGCUAAGUGUUGGGAGGUUUCCGCCUCUCAGUGCUGCAG